rnacentral:rRNA from 1 species
UACGUAGGGUGCGAGCGUUGUCCGGAUUUAUUGGGCGUAAAGAGCUCGUAGGUGGCCUGUCGCGUCGGCUGUGAAAACUCGGGGCUCAACUCCGAGCUUGCAGUCGAUACGGGCAGGCUAGAGUCCGGAAGAGGAGUGUGGAAUUCCCGGUGUAGCGGUGGAAUGCGCAGAUAUCGGGAGGAACACCCGUGGCGAAGGCGGCACUCUGGGACGGUACUGACGCUGAGACGCGAAAGCGUGGGGAGCAAACAGG